GAAUCUAACGCCUGAUGACCUAUCACUGUCUCCCAUCACUCCCAGAUGGGACCGUCUAGUUGCAGGAAAACAAGCUCAGGGCUCCCACUGAUUCUACAUUAUGAUCAACUGCAUGGGGUCCUACAGGAGAAGACCAAGAGACAGAGACAGAGACCAGGGAAAAUGACCGAUACCAUUCCUUCUCAGGGAUGCUACACACCCAUGGGGCAGAGGAUAAGAGGUUCCUGAAGGCAUCACCCCUCUGGCCAUGGCUGGUGUGCAGACAAAGCUGGAGAUUUGGAGUAGCCUGUUGUCCCACUGACUCUUAGACUGCCCCAGCUAAGAAGAACCAACUCCUCCUAUUACAGAUGAAAUAAACAAAGCUACUCAAGCUCUCUGGCAUCGCCCUGACGGUCAUCAUGUGCUUCACAUUUCCCUCCUGCCCCCCCUGAUUUUCUGGAAAAGGGAGAAACACACCAAAGAGAGUUCUAGAAAAAAUGAGAAUAAGAAAUUUACCUGUAAUCCUUGCUCAAGAAACUGAAGCUCUGAGGCCACAUUGUUCCAGCCUUUUGCAGCUCCUGCAUGUGGAUACCAGCACCAGCAGCUCCCCGACCAGGGGCCCCAGCUAAGCCCUCCCAGAGGAUGAUCUUGGCUUUGUACAUGGGGUGUCAAUAUCCUGUGAGUCCAACAGAGGGAAGACAUAAGAAUAUGGUCACCCAGGUAAGUGGUGGAUAGCUGAGUGACUGUAUUCUUGCUCACCACCACCCCCAUCAGAGGGGGUGUCUUUGUUUCUAGUUGGGGGAAGCUUUGGUAGACUGUCAGUAAUUCCUCCCUGUGUCCCCCAUCCUGUGUCAGGUAACAGACAUUUGUCUUAAUGUAUUCACUGUGUCAUCAGAAGCCACUUCUUAUCCAUCCUUGUGAAUACUUGAUGAAUGAGGAGUCAAUGAUUAAAUGAAGGAAAGAAAAGAGACUGAAAAGGAGGUAUGAGAAUGGGAAAGACGAGUGGAAAGACGAGAUAGAUAUUGCCCUAAAGACACAGUAAGCCAUCAAAUAUCUGUUUUCUAGUCCCCUUCUGGGCCCUCUUGGAUUUUGAAAAAGGGAGGAAGAAAUUGGAAAAAUUACCAAUAACUUCUAUUGACUUUGUAGAUUCCUAGUUUCCCCACAUGUGGCUAUGCUUGAAUCAACUUGUAAAAGUCUCUUUAUAGUCUGUUGAUGUUCAUGCAGGCACUAAAAGGCCACGGUCGGCCUACUUAGAUGAUCCACUCCACCCUGGGCUCCGGAAGAUGUUCCAGGGCAUUUGCCUUUACUUGACCCUAUGCUGAGAAGCUACCAAUAUUUUUCUUUCCCCAAAUUGGUUUUAUUUGUACCCUUUAUAUAUUAAAUAUUAGAGUAUUGGCCA
rnacentral:lncRNA from 1 species